AUUGUGACAGCUUUGGAGGUUUUGGAUGCUCCUGAAGAUGUGCAUCAACAUCUGUCAUGCUUUUUCUGAAGCCUCCUUCUCCCUCAGAAAGACCUCUGGAAAGUUCAAAGUGUCAAGAAAAUUGUUGCAGAACUGUGAUAAGACAUGAAGUUCAAGCAGUGAAAACUUCAAUAACACUGGCUAAAUGCCACAUUAAUCUAACAUGUGUCAGCAUGUGAAUGUGCUCGUCAUCGUCCUCAGUCUUCAGCAACUUUGGGAGGCUGGACUCUGGUGAGAUGCCACACAAAGACAUUCUACAAAAUCAUAAUCUGUCUCUUCCUCUGAUUCUGAACUCAUGCUCAUGUUUGACCUCUACCAUGUCAAAAAAGGAACCUUUCCCAAGACUGGGGGGAAAGGUGAGAUGAGGAUUUGAUACCAUGUGAACUCUCCCAGACCCAGUUUUGUAAGCCUAGCAACUGUAUACUGAGAAAUGGUGUGGAAGUAAGGAACAGCAGAAAAUGUAUUUGCAGAUAAAAAGAAGAGAAGGAAAUCUUAUGCAAAGAGACUGUAAUGAUGCUGUAACUCUAUGACAUCAGCUGCUGUUUGCCAGCAUAGUGCAUAGCAGAUACUUGUAGAGGAGAAUGACUUGUCUGAAUCGACGUGGUGAUGACACAGAGGAGGAACAGAUGGCACAGAGCUGCCCCUGCUCCAUUCAUCAUGUCCAGUGGAAACAAUGACAAUACCGCACUGAUUCUCAGCAAAUUACAGAGCUCAGCAAACAAAUCAGCCUGGCUGGCAGAGGUCUUGGAAGAGUAAACUGAAAUCUGCCUUGCACUGCUCUAGAGGUUACACGGCUAUGGAUCACAUCGCUGCUGAAAGAGAACAUGGUGUGUGAUCUGCUGGUAAUCUUAGAAAUUCACCAUCUUCUUGCCAAAGUAUGAAGAGUGACCAGUCCUCAAGCCACUAAAGAGAAGUGCUGAUUCAAUCUUGGUAGGAUUGGUGUCCCCUGCAGUUGAAUACAUGCAGUUCUAGUACAGUCAGCACAGAAAAUGUUUUCCUCCCACUUCCCAGAAUGAUAAAAAUAGGGUAUUGGUAGUGGUGGUUUUGGUGUUGCAAAGAAGACAAUUACUGAUUUCUUCCUCCAGUGUCCAGGCAGCACAGAUCCUCAUACCUUUGAGUAAUAGAUUAAGGUGCAGGUAACAGGUAACAUGAUAGAUUGUAUAUAGAAGCCUGAGCAAUAGAUGAGAUGGCUUUGAUUAAGGUACAGUUUUGAAGGGCACAAUUAUUUUGGUGUGUUUUAUUUUUCUGUUUUAAUUUGGGGUUUUUUGU